CCCUACGGGACGCAGCAGUGAGGAAUAUUGGUCAAUGGGCUUACGCCUGAACCAGCCAAGUCGCGUGAGGGAAGACUGCCCUAUGGGUUGUAAACCUCUUUUGUCAGGGAGCAGCGCCGGCUACGUGUAGCCGGACUGAGAGUACCUGAAGAAAAAGCAUCGGCUAACUCCGUGCCAGCAGCCGCGGUAAUACGGAGGAUGCGAGCGUUAUCCGGAUUUAUUGGGUUUAAAGGGUGCGUAGGCGGAAUGCCAAGUCAGCGGUAAAAUCGCGGAGCUCAACCUCGCUCCGCCGUUGAAACUGGCGU
rnacentral:rRNA from 1 species